rnacentral:rRNA from 1 species
GACGAACGCUGGCGGCGUGCUUAACACAUGCAAGUCGAACGGAAAGGCCCUGCUUUUGUGGGGUGCUCGAGUGGCGAACGGGUGAGUAACACGUGAGUAACCUGCCCUUGACUUUGGGAUAACUUCAGGAAACUGGGGCUAAUACCGGAUAGGAGCUCCUGCUGCAUGGUGGGGGUUGGAAAGUUUCGGCGGUUGGGGAUGGACUCGCGGCUUAUCAGCUUGUUGGUGGGGUAGUGGCUUACCAAGGCUUUGACGGGUAGCCGGCCUGAGAGGGUGACCGGCCACAUUGGGACUGAGAUACGGCCCAGACUCCUACGGGAGGCAGCAGUAGGGAAUAUUGCACAAUGGGCGGAAGCCUGAUGCAGCAACGCCGCGUGAGGGAUGACGGCCUUCGGGUUGUAAACCGCUUUCGCCUGUGACGAAGCGUGAGUGACGGUAAUGGGUAAAGAAGCACCGGCUAACUACGUG